rnacentral:lncRNA from 1 species
CAAAAAUAUAUACCUUGUCAUAUAUUAAUGAACAAAAAACAGACCUAUAGAUAUAUUUGGAUAUUUUUCAUCUUCUUGUAUAUUAGUACAUGUAGUAUAUGCAUAAAUUUUGAGGUCCCGCUCAUUUUACGUUCUUGUUAGAGGCAACGCAGUCGCAAUACUCACACCUUGCUUUUCCAAUAAAUUCGUUACAUCUUAAACACUUUCCUCUAUUUGCCCCUUUUAUAUCUUUAAUUCUGAAGAAAUUUCAAUCUCAAAAGACAAUAAAAUAUGUUUUGUCAGAUAAAUGUAGUAACACUUCAGAUAGUAUCACUUUUACUGAGUUUAACAUUAAUUAUAAUCUGAUAAAAAGUUACAUUUGCCGUUCCCUCUUGAAGGACGCUGACAC